UCAGCACCAGCCUAGGAUGAUGAUAGU
rnacentral:piRNA from 1 species